rnacentral:tRNA from 1 species
GGGGUGGUAGCUCAGUCGGUAGAGCAGCGGACUUUUAAUCCGUUGGUCGUGGGUUCGAGUCCCACCCACCCCACCA